GACGAACGCUGGCGGCGUGCUUAACACAUGCAAGUCGAACGGAAAGGCCCUGCUUUUCUGGGGUGCUCGAGUGGCGAACGGGUGAGUAACACGUGAGUAACCUGCCCUUGACUUUGGGAUAACUUCAGGAAACUGGGGCUAAUACCGGAUAGGAGCUCCUGCUGCAUGGUGGGGGUUGGAAAGUUUCGGCGGUUGGGGAUGGACUCGCGGCUUAUCAGCUUGUUGGUGGGGUAGUGGCUUACCAAGGCUUUGACGGGUAGCCGGCCCGAGAGGGUGACCGGCCACAUUGGGACUGAGAUACGGCCCAGACUCCUACGGGAGGCAGCAGUGGGGAAUAUUGCACAAUGGGCGGAAGCCUGAUGCAGCAACGCCGCGUGCGGGAUGACGGCCUUCGGGUUGUAAACCGCUUUCGCCUGUGACGAAGCGUGAGUGACGGUAAUGGGUAAAGAAGCACCGGCUAACUACGUG
rnacentral:rRNA from 1 species